AAAGGUUGUUCGUCGCGCGGUGGGUUCGGCACGCGGUGGAUUUCAGCCUGUGGACCGACGCGAGAGCUUCGCCUUGCAUAUCGCAUCCCGGUGAUGUUGCUGUUCUGCAAAUAGGACGAUAUUGCAGUCCACGGGUCAGAGGUCAGCAAAACUUGCAUUUCGAAUACCACUUUUAAAUAAUUCUCAUUUGUUUACAACGAAUGAAGCUGUUCAGCUAUUGAUAGUGAUGAUCGUAUGGGUAUUAACGUCAGUAUUGCUAAAAUUAUAACUGUUCACCUCAACACGGCUAUCCAAAUAGCGGUAAUAAUACUCCAGACCGGCUGUGUGGUGUAACCUUACAUCUGCGAUCAUGAUCAAAGCCAUUUUACAUGCCACUACUGCAAUUAUGUUUAUUAAAAUUAUAUUACUGGAUCUCUACGAUCACUUAAACGUUGAAGUAUAUAUUUAGUAUUACAAUUACAGCUCUUGAUCAGCUGUUGUUGUUGCUGAUUUAGGAGCUUCUGAUUAAUUAUUUUUUUAAUGUCAUAUUGUGUAUGUACAUUAGUCUUUAUUUAUUUAAUAAAUGUUCGUUCAAAUCGUUUGAAUGUUUUGAUAUUUAUUUAAUAAUGCAAAUAAACAAUAGUUGAUG
rnacentral:lncRNA from 1 species